rnacentral:rRNA from 1 species
UACGAGGGGGGCGAGCGUUGUUCGGAAUUAUUGGGCGUAAAGGGCGCGUAGGCGGUGCGGUAAGUCACCUGUGAAACCUCUAGGCUUAACCUAGAGCCUGCAGGCGAAACUGCCGUGCUGGAGUGUGGGAGAGGUGCGUGGAAUUCCCGGUGUAGCGGUGAAAUGCGUAGAUAUCAGGAGGAACACCGGUGGCGAAGGCGGAUCUCUGGGCCAUUACUGACGCUGAGGAGCGAAAGCGUGGGGAGCGAACAGG